CAAGAAUUUCCCUGCACCAUGACUGCCUCCAUCUCUCUCCAUCUGGGAGAUUUAAUGGUUUAUGUUUGAAUUUUGUGGGCACAGAAAGAAACUACGAGUCAGUCACUCCAACGGAAGUUCUAAAAAAAAUUCUUUCAUUGGCGAGGGCUCUUGGAGAAGAACAUUUGAAGCAGCUGCAGCCAGGCAGAGCUGCGGGGAACCUGAGUGGAGGUGCCUCGGAGGCACGACCCAGCCCCUCUUAAGCGGCACAGCCCAGCCAGAAUUAAAAGCCUGAAACAGGUUAUAAGGUGAUGCUGAUAAAGCUGGUCAGGUGAUCACACUUUGAGAACCACUGUUCCAGGGGCCUGAAAUAUUAAGAUACUAAUGGAGAAAGCCCUUACCAGAUCCAGAUUAUACUAUCACCAACUACUUUUUGUAGGGGAAAAAUAUGUUUUGUUCUUGGUUGCACCUGUUUGUUUAUAUUGAAAACUAUUUUUUAAUUUUUUUAAUUCACACAUUGUAACUACAUAUUUAUGAGGUGCAAUUUGAUAUUUCCAUUCAUGUAUAUGACGUAUAAUCAAAUAAGGGUAAUUAGCUUAUCUGUCACCUCACCCAUUUAUUAUUCCUUUGUAGUGAAAAUAUUUAAAAGCCUUUCUUCUGAAUAUUCUGUAAUGUACAAUACUUUAUUUUUAACCAUAGUUAAAAUACCUACUGUAUAAUAGAAUACCAGAAUUCUUCCUGUCUUAUUAUGACCCUGUACCAAUUGAACAUCUUCUCCCCAUCUUCCCAUACCCCAUUGCUCCCCAAUCUUUGGUAACCAUUGUUCUGCUCUACUUCUAUAAUAUCUUUUUUUUUUUAAGCUUCCACCUAUGAGUGAGAUCAUGGGGUAUUUAUCUUUCUGUGUCUGACUUAUUUCACUUAAUAUCAUGUCCUUCAGAUUCACCCAUAUCAUCACGAAUGACAGGAUUUGUUUUUUUUUCUGACUGAAAGUAUUUCAUUGUGUAUAUAUGCCCCAAUUUUUACUAACUCACCUGUUGAAUCCGUUGAUUCCCUAUCUUGG
rnacentral:lncRNA from 1 species